UACGUAGGGUCCGAGCGUUGUCCGGAAUUAUUGGGCGUAAAGGGCUCGUAGGCGGUUUGUCACGUCGGGAGUGAAAACUCAGGGCUCAACCCUGAGCGUGCUUCCGAUACGGGCAGACUAGAGGUAUGCAGGGGAGAACGGAAUUCCUGGUGUAGCGGUGGAAUGCGCAGAUAUCAGGAGGAACACCGGUGGCGAAGGCGGUUCUCUGGGCAUGACCUGACGCUGAGGAGCGAAAGCAUGGGGGAGCGAACAGG
rnacentral:rRNA from 1 species